rnacentral:rRNA from 1 species
AACGAACGCUGGCGGCAGGCCUAACACAUGCAAGUCGAGCGAAGCCUUCGGGCUUAGCGGCGGACGGGUGAGUAACGCGUGGGGACGUGCCCUUUGGUACGGAAUAGCCCCGGGAAACUGGGAGUAAUACCGUAUGUGCCCUUCGGGGGAAAGAUUUAUCGCCAAAGGAUCGGCCCGCGUUGGAUUAGGUAGUUGGUGGGGUAAUGGCCUACCAAGCCGACGAUCCAUAGCUGGUUUGAGAGGAUGAUCAGCCACACUGGGACUGAGACACGGCCCAGACUCCUACGGGAGGCAGCAGUGGGGAAUCUUAGACAAUGGGGGAAACCCUGAUCUAGCCAUGCCGCGUGAUCGAUGAAGGCCUUAGGGUUGUAAAGAUCUUUCAGUGGGGAAGAUAAUGACUGUACCCACAGAAGAAGCCCCGGCUAACUCCGUGCCAGCCGCCGCAGUAA